rnacentral:snRNA from 1 species
GGAUGUGACAACAUCCAUCAGAUGUUGGGUGCAACAUCUGUCACUCUAUUGAUCGCCAGGGUUGGUUCAGCUGAUUUGGCUGGCUAGGCAGGUGUCCCCUUCCUCCCUCACCACUCCAUGUGUGUCCCUCCCCCAUAGAGGAGGACUGUUCUUCCGCCAAGGGUAUAGGAGUAGCUGCGCUCCCCUGCUAGAACCUCCAAACAAGCUCUCAGAAAUGUUUUGGCCACAGUGUGCUCUUUGCAUUUUCAGAUGAUUUUAGAGUCAAUUAAUUGUAUUAAUUAAUUCUUGUAUUAAUU